CCUACGGGAGGCAGCAGUGAGGAAUAUUGGACAAUGGGGGGAAGCCUGAACCAGCCAAGUCGCGUGAGUGAGUAAGGCCCUACGGGUCGUAAACCUCUUUUGCAGGGGAGCAGUGCCCAGCUCGUGAGCUGGGAGGGAGCGUCCCCGGAGAAAAAGCAUCGGCAAACUCCGUGCCAGCCGCCGCGGUCAUACGGAGGAUGCGAGCGUUCUCUGGUUUUAUUGGGUUAAAGGGGUGCGUAGGCGGGCCUUCAGGCCGGCGGGAAAAUUGCGGGGCUCAACCACGCCGGGCCGUCGGUACCGGGUGCCUUGAGUACCGGAGAGGGACGCGGAAUGCGAGGUGUAGCGGUGAAAUGCAUAGAGA
rnacentral:rRNA from 1 species